rnacentral:rRNA from 1 species
AUUGAACGCUGGCGGCAGGCCUAACACAUGCAAGUCGAACGAGUGGCGGACGGGUGAGUAAUGUCUGGGAAACUGCCCGAUGGAGGGGGAUAACUACCGGAACCGGUAGCUAAUACCGCAUACCAUCGGAUCUGCCCAGUUGGGAUUAGCUAGUAGGUGGGGUAACGGCUCCCCUAGGCGACGAUCCCUAGCUGGUUUGAGAGGAUGACCAGCAACACUGGAACUGAGACACGGUCCAGACGCCUACGGGAGGCAGCAGAGGGGAAUAUUGCACAAUGGGCGAAAGCCUGAUGCAGCCAUGCCGCGUGUAUGAAGAAGGCCUUCGGGUUGUAAAAUACUUUCAGCGAGGAGGCGUUACUCGCAGAAGAAGAACGGGCUAACUCCGUGCCAGCAGCCGCGGUAAUAC